CUCAGGUCGAAGAGAAGGUGACCCAUCUGAAUAUCAACACCGAAGAAGAGAGGGGGAGACGUGGGGCAGCUCUUUCCACCCUCACCUUAUGGGGACGUUUUCAGAUGUCAUGGAGCCCUAGAUUGAUGGCCUCAUUCAGCACCUGGAGCUGAGGUUCCAGCAGCUUGGAAUUCUUGGUGAAUUUAGUGCUCUGGGACCACAAGGACCAAAAGGUGAUGAGAGUCGUGCCAUCUCAGACCUACAAAUGCUGGCCUAGCAGUUCCCACCCAUCAACGAGAAGGCACUUCUCCAAGAAUGGCAGAGCUUUAAAGUGCUCACAACAACUGGGAUUUUAAAAUCCCAGCUCGAUAUGAUGAGUGAUAUGGCAUCUGGGUAUGAUUUGCUACAUCUGCUCUACCCAAACCUGUCCCUCCUAUCAGCAAUCGCCCUCACAAUACCGGUCUCAAGUGUGAAUUGUGAGAGGGAUUUCUCUGCGAUGAAUAGGAUCAAGACAGACCUGCGGAACAGGCUGCAGGGCAACAGUCUGACAGCCUGCAUGAGAAUCAGUAUUAAUGGUCCACCUAUGAAAGAGUUUAAUUACAACAGGGCCCUUGAGUUGUUCUUUGUUGAACCAAGGAGGAUAGCCUGUAGCGAUACUACAUGUCAGCUCAUCCAUAAGUAGUGACUGACAACCUUUGCACAUGUUUUGCACUUUCUUUAGUUAAAAUUGCACAAAUUGCAAUAUAAAUAAAGUGCUGUUCAGCACUUUAUUUAUAUUUGCAGAUGUUAUUU
rnacentral:lncRNA from 1 species